rnacentral:rRNA from 1 species
UGGGGAAUAUUGCACAAUGGGGGAAACCCUGAUGCAGCGACGCCGCGUGGAGGAAGAAGGUCUUCGGAUUGUAAACUCCUGUUGUUGAGGAAGAUAAUGACGGUACUCAACAAGGAAGUGACGGCUAACUACGUGCCAGCAGCCGCGGUAAUACGGAGGAUCCGAGCGUUAUCCGGAUUUAUUGGGUUUAAAGGGAGCGUAGAUGGAUGUUUAAGUCAGUUGUGAAAGUUUGCGGCUCAACCGUAAAAUUGCAGUUGAUACUGGAUGUCUUGAGUGCAGUUGAGGCAGGCGGAAUUCGUGGUGUAGCGGUGAAAUGCUUAGAUAUCACGAAGAACUCCGAUUGCGAAGGCAGCCUGCUAAGCUGCAACUGACAUUGAGGCUCGAAAGUGUGGGUAUCAAACAGGAUUAGAUACCCUGGUAGUCCACACGGUAAACGAUGAAUACUCGCUGUUUGCGAUAUACGGCAAGCGGCCAAGCGAAAGCGUUAAGUAUUCCACCUGGGGAGUACGCCGGCAACGGUGAAACUCAAAGGAAUUGACGGGGGCCCGCACAAGCGGAGGAACAUGUGGUUUAAUUCGAUGAUACGCGAGGAACCUUACCUGGGCUUAAAUUGCACUCGAAUGAUCCGGAAACGGUUCAGCUAGCAAUAGCGAGUGUGAAGGUGCUGCAUGGUUGUCGUCAGCUCGUGCCGUGAGGUGUCGGCUUAAGUGCCAUAACGAGCGCAACCCUUGUUGUCAGUUACUAACAGGUGAUGCUGAGGACUCUGACAAGACUGCCAUCGUAAGAUGUGAGGAAGGUGGGGAUGACGUCAAAUCAGCACGGCCCUUACGUCCGGGGCUACACACGUGUUACAAUGGGGGGUACAGAGGGCCGCUACCACGCGAGUGGAUGCCAAUCCCUAAAACCCCUCUCAGUUCGGACUGGAGUCUGCAACCCGACUCCACGAAGCUGGAUUCGCUAGUAAUCGCGCAUCAGCCACGGCGCGGUGAAUACGUUCCC